AUGUCUGACAUUGCUAUGUUAGUUGCUGAGGAGUAUGAGAGAAGGGUCAAGAGUUUAAAAACCACCGCAAAUGGUGGUGCUGUAAAAACAUGGGAGAUUGACAUGUCUUGUUUUUCAAUAUUGGUUUCCAAGUUGAAGGAGGAGAAGAAGCAACUUGUUCAGUGUGUGUUGGAGCCUAAAACACAGUUUGCUGUUGCUGCUUCUAACAGCUUCUUUUCUGCUUGA
rnacentral:lncRNA from 1 species